AUGGCGGAGCUCGAGCGCCUGCGCUGCGCCGGCGUCGACCCGCUGCACGACCGCAACGCCGCCGCCACGGCCGCCAUGCUGGAGUCCGCCGCCGCCAACCUGCAGGCGCAAGGCAACUCCGUCGUCCUGCAGCAGACGAUGAUGGGCUUGGCAGAUAGAGGAACACGGGCCCCUGCUGCCGCCAACGCCACCAACGCGUCAUACUACUCAAUCCACUAUGUUGCCUCCGCCAUCACCAUGACCGCCGCUCGUAAGGAGACGGCCGGAGAAGGGUUCUCGGUGGCAGCGGAGGGGAGGAAGGAUGUGCGGGAGAUCCAGUUCUUCCCGACGAGGAUCAGCAGCCACGGCGGCGGUCCCGACGAGUCUGAGCUGCGCAGGACGCCGCCCUUGUCCUCCUCGCCGCCCGGCGGCGUCGGUGGCUCCCUGGACCUGUCCCUCAAACUCUAG
rnacentral:rRNA from 1 species